UCGGGUAGAAGUAAGCUAACGACGAUAAGAUUCCCGAUCUCCUUCUCACUUGAAGGACCAUUAUACGGAUUGAAGUUGUUCUCGAGGUAGAGAGACACGAACAUUCCUGCUCAAACCGUGCUGCCUUUGCCGAUACCUGCUAGAAUAAUUGAUUCUCCUUCGUCAACCGAGACCAUUCGUGACAGUCAAACUGUUGACGGUGAGACUCAGUCAAAGACGCGUGAUAUUCCAGCCCUCCUACACUAUUUCUAAGAGAGAGACUUAUCAAAAGGUGAUUGCACCAACAUAGACUUAGAGUUCCUUUAACUAGGUUAUGAGAAGAAUUUCUACCGUUUCAAUUAAUUAGUAUAGUAUCAAAAGGUUACUUCCAUUGUUAUAUAAACAUCUUUCAAUUUAAGAAGGUUUUCGCUCAUUAAUUAUACUACCAUUAGUUGUUCUAUAUUUUGUUCUA